rnacentral:misc_RNA from 1 species
UUUCCGUAGGUGAACCUGCGGAAGGAUCAUUAACGAAUAACUAUGGUGUCUUGGUUGUAGCUGGCUCCUCGGAGCAAUGUGCACGCCCGCCAUUUUUAUCUUUCCACCUGUGCACCGACUGUAGGUCUGGAUGACUCUCGUACUCCGGUGCGGAUGCGAGGAUUGCUCUCGGGCUCUCCUCGAAUUUCCAGGCUCUACGUCUUUUUACACACCCCAAACCGUAUGAUACAGAAUGUAGUCAAUGGGCUUGAUCGCCUAUAAAACACUAUACAACUUUCAGCAACGGAUCUCUUGGCUCUC